UUGCUUGGACAGCACGUCGUAGAGGGUGACAACCCCGUCUGCGGCGAUCUCGGCCGUUCACGAUGUGCUUUCGACGAGUCGGGUUGUUUGGGAAUGCAGCCCAAAAUGGGUGGUAAACUCCAUCUAAAGCUAAAUAUUGGCACGAGACCGAUAGCGAACAAGUACCGUGAGGGAAAGAUGAAAAGCACUUUGAAAAGAGAGUUAAAAAGUAAGUGAAACCGUUAAAGGGGAAACGAAUGGGGUUAGCAAUGCGUCGUGCGAGAUUCAGCCGGUGGGUGGGCCAGGCGGGCGGUUGGCGGAUCUGAAUGGACCGCUGCCGUUCGGGUUGGUUUCCCGACCGUCGCACUUCUCGCAGGCGCGCGCCAACGUCGGUUAGGGCUGGGUCUCAAAGGCGGUGGAAAGGUAGGUUUGGACUCUCGGGCCCGAACUGUUACAGUCCUCCGUUUGUCAUGGCCCGGACCUGACCGAGGAGCUUGCGGUGCAUGCCGUUCGGCUAGGGUCCCGUCUUCCCGGUCGGUCGUCGGAUGCGGUGGACUGCGUGCAGUGCGCCGCGACUGCUGCCGGUCGCGAGGGCGGUGAUUUCGUACUAUGCACCCACGACGUUGGGGGUCAUAUGGCCUCAUCCGACCCGUCUUGAAACACGGACCAAGGAGUCUAACAUGUGUGCGAGUCUUUGAGUGACCGAAACUCCGAGGCGUAAUGAAAGUGAAGGCGACUUCGGUCGCUGAGGUGAGAGCCUUUUUCCAAAAAAAGAAGGCGCAUCAUUGACCGACCUAUUCUACUCUUAGAAAGGUUUGAGUAAGAGCGCAUCUGUUGGGACCCGAAAGAUGGUGAACUAUGCCUGAAUAGGGUGAAGCCAGAGGAAACUCUGGUGGAGGCUCGA
rnacentral:ncRNA from 1 species